rnacentral:rRNA from 1 species
AUUGAACGCUGGCGGAAUGCUUUACACAUGCAAGUCGAGCGGCAGCGCGGGGGCAACCCUGGCGGCGAGCGGCGAACGGGUGAGUAACAUAUCGGAACGUACCCUGUCGUGGGGGAUAACUAUCCGAAAGGAUAGCUAAUACCGCAUACGACCUGAGGGUGAAAGCGGGGGACCGCAAGGCCUCGCGCGAUAGGAGCGGCCGAUAUCGGAUUAGCUAGUUGGUGAGGUAAAGGCUCACCAAGGCGACGAUCCGUAGCGGGUCUGAGAGGACGAUCCGCCACACUGGAACUGAGACACGGUCCAGACUCCUACGGGAGGCAGCAGUGGGGAAUUUUGGACAAUGGGCGCAAGCCUGAUCCAGCCAUGCCGCGUGAGUGAAGAAGGCC